ensembl:lncRNA
UCCUUAGGAUGCAGAGACCACCAACAUACUCCUUCCUGACUUCAUUGUACCCAACUGGGAUGACAUAAGGGCUUCCCACGUGGCGCUAGUGUUAAAGAACCCUCCUGCCAGUGCAGAGGAGAUAAGAGACGCGGGUUCGAUCUUCUUGGGAAGAUCCCCUGAAAGAGGGCAUGGCCACCCACUCCAGUAUUCUUGCCUGGAGAAUCCCAUGGACAGAGGAGCCUGGCGGACUACGGUCCAUGGGGUCACAGAGUCAGACACGAUGGAAGCAACGCAGCACACAUGCCCACAAGAUGACAAUAAAUAAGGCCGUUCUGUUUCCAGGACACCCAAAGCAUCUCAGGAAGUGUCAGAAGAUUCUCAGAGAGGGUUGUUGAGAGGCGGUGCAGGACCCAGAGGGAGAACAGACGAAAGCUGAAUUUCGCUGACGUGGAGAUGACCUGGGAGCCAAAGAUCUGACUUCGGUUCCUGGUUUUUGCCCCUUCCCGCCUCUUGGGCUUGACUCUUUUCUUUCUCUUGUCCUCUGAGGCCUCAGUUUCCCCGCCUGAGAUGUGCAGCCAGAACAAUUUGCUAAUCCACCGCCCAUGGAUGCGCGGAAAAAAUAUUUUGAAUUCCCACCAUCUUUUUUUCCUUUGAAUGAACUUGUUUAUCCGCUGGUCAGGGUCAGAGAGGGUCGAGGAGGAGGAGCAGCGAGGGGAGUGCCAUCCAGCUAAGCUGACAUGACGCGUUGGAAGGUCAGAGCCCACGGACCCCUGGACAGAGGGCCGUGUUGUUGGGCUUCGGAGUGCCCUUCUGGAAGCCAGUGGCCGGGUCUGAUGCAAGCGUGCCAGGAACUCCUGGGCCUGAAGGUCUGCAAACUGAACGCCUAUUUCUGUGACCCUUCGUGGGACUCACGGCCCUGGCUCAGCUGCCCAGCUCUCAGUGAGCCGAGGAGAUGGUCACAAAAACCAGUGGUAGCCCAGUCAUCCUGACAAUGUCUGGGGUCCCUCCAACACCAACCCUCAGCUCUCCUGCCUCCCAGACCUUGGAGCAUCUCACUCUGCUCCGGGUGGUCUUGGAAUCAGUUACUGAGGGGUGAACGCUCAUGAGCCCAUUUCAGAGUUGGUGAAACUGAGGUCCAAGCAGGACAGACAGCGUGACGCCUUCCUUAAGCCCAGUUCCCGGCGCUAGAGAACACAUUCAUUCAUUUUGCAAAUAUUUGUGAGUUCUUGCCAGGCACAGGGCUGGAUGAUGCAGAUGUCAUGAGAUGGGGUGCGGGGGGGAUGUCUGGGGAGGUUGUCAUUCCUUUGUCUGGCUCGCGGUCCGGGGGUGGAGACACAUGUGCGGCAAAAUCUCCAGAGUAAAAUUAAACUGGAAACUGGGAUAAGCACUGCGACGGGGACGAAAGAGAGCUUGGAACAGCCCGUGUGGUCUGGGGAGGUCCUGUGGGCUUCCCUGAGCUUCCUCAGAUUAGUGCUUCUGAUAAUCAGGCUGAAAUCUGAUCAUGGAGAGAGGGCUAGGGCUGAGCACUUUCCAGACAGAGGGAACGCCAUGUUUGGAGGCUGGCAUGUGGACCAAGCAGGGUAAGACAGAUCACAGGAAGAAAGUCCACGUGGCCGGAG